rnacentral:lncRNA from 1 species
CACACGCAACCACCUGGUUUGCCGAGUCACUUUCGGCCCUCGUGGGUGCUCUCAGUCUGCACUUCGCGAGAAGACCACUCAGUUCUCAACUCCGCGGUCAGCAGCGCUCCUUCUAGUCUCAGCCUUGCCCAGCCCUGCCCUUCUCAGUAGCUACAGCCCUCUAGCAAGUCGCAGCAGCUCAGAUCCCCGGCUUCCCCAUUUGUUAAAGGAGUUCCAGGCAUGCACCCUCGGCCCAGCUCGGCACCUGCUCAUCCUCUCCUGCCCCCACCCCCAUGGGCUGUGAGAAACUAAUCAUCAAUGGACCUUUCGCUUUCGGGUGCAGUAUCAUCCUCACAGCGUGACAGAAAGGCACUCCAAUGUGCUCCAUGCAACAUGGAAGAACUCUGCACACUGCCUGAGCCAGACCCUGGGAAUCCUGUGUGCAGAGAACUUUGCCCUCUGUAACCCUUUGGUAAAGAAUUCUAAGUCGAGGAGAUGGCGAUAAGGAAAUUGCUGUGCAUUGUUUUAUGGUUCCAGCAUUCGGUUUCCUGUGGCUCCCGGGUUCUUUGAUUUGAGUCACAGAAGGAGCAAGCACAACCCUGCCCAGCCAGGUAUCUAGAACGGGCAACAUCCUGUCUGCCCAGCCAUGGGGCCAGAGAGGCACUCUGCAUCCUUGAGGAAAAUACUUCCUGCCCCUGACAUGCCUUCGGCCUGCAUGUGUCAAAUGACUUUGAUCUACUUUUCAUCAUGGCAAGCUAUCAACUGUCUUUUCUGUUAUAGGUCAGUGGCACUGGGCACACUCACAUUGGUGUGCAGCCAUCAGCUCCAGAGCUUUCGUCUUCCCGGACUGAAACUCUGACCCCAUGAAACCCUAACUCCCUACUGGCCUUCUCCCAGGCCCUGGAAACCCCGGGCCACUUCCACUCUCUGUGAGUUUGGCUACUCCAGGUACCUCACAGAAGUGGAAUCAUAUAGCAUUUGUCUAUGUGCUGGGUUAGUUUCCUUAGCGUAAUAUCCUCAAGGCUCAUCCACUUGUAAUGUGUCCAAAUUUCCUUCCUUUCUAGGGCUGGAAUAUUCCACCAUAUGUAGACGCUCCAUUUUUAUAAGGUCCAUCCAUCCAUCCAUCAUUGGGCAUCUGAGUUGUUUAUGACUUUGGCUGUUUUGAAUAAUACUGCUAUCAUUACAAGUCUCCAAACAUCUAUUCAA